CCUACGGGAGGCAGCAGUGGGGAAUAUUGGGCAAUGGGCGCAAGCCUGACCCAGCAACGCCGCGUGAAGGAAGAAGGCUUUCGGGUUGUAAACUUCUUUUCUGAGGGACGAAGAAAGUGACGGUACCUCAGGAAUAAGCCACGGCUAACUACGUGCCAGCAGCCGCGGGAAUACGUAGGGGGCAAGCUUUAUCCGGAUGUAUUGGGUGUAAAGGGCGUGGAGGCGGGAAAGCAAGUCAGAUGUGAAAACUCAGGGCUCAACCCUUAGCCUGCAUUUGAAACUGUUUUUCUUGAGUGCUGGAGAGGCAAUCGGAAUUCCGUGUGUAGCGGUGAAAUGCGUAGAUAUACGGAGGAACACCAGUGGCGAAGGCGGAUUGCUGGACAGUAACUGACGCUGAGGCGCGAAAGCGUGGGGAGCAAAUAGGAUUAGAUACCCGGGUAGUC
rnacentral:rRNA from 1 species